rnacentral:lncRNA from 1 species
UCCCAAAUGAAAAAAAAAAAGAAAGAAACAGAAAACUCUCGUAACAAAUACUCAAGUCAAAGAAUUUUUUACAUAUACCAUGUCCAAAAAAACCCCAUAUAUGUUUUAUUGAGAAACUUAAGCCCAUCACCUUUCUGCCAGGAAGCAGAUAGAAUACUGUAUCAUUCCUUUCAAAUAAUGAUUGCUUAUUUCUUUGAUUAGAGUUCUUAAGUCUUUUAAGCUUAUUUAUUUUUAUAGUGUAUUUGGUAUGGUAUAAAUUGUUCAUUUGGUUCUUUUUACUUCAUUCUGUAUCAAUUCGUAUAAAUCUUCCCAGAGUUCAUUGAAAUUGUCCCUUUAUUGUCCUUGAGUAUGAUUAUCAUAAUUAUAUAUACAUAUAUUCUAUUAUAUUAUUAUAUGUAAUCAUUGUUUCACAAUAGUAUUCCAUCAUAUUCAUUUGUUAUUGUUGUUGUUUAUUCAUCUUCAGGGGUGGCCCGCGGGCCAGAAGCUGCAGCUGAGCACGAUUAUCCCCCUCACCCAGGACUAUGAAGUUGCUUUCUUUAAAGGCCCACAAAACAAAGUUUUUGUUUUUACUAUAGUCUGGCCCUCCAACAGUCUGAGGGACAGUGAACUGGCUCCCUAUUUAAAAAGUUUGAGGACCCCAGAAAUCAUGCCUGACUCUUUGUGACCCCAUUUGGGUUUAUCUUGGGAAAGAUAUUGAAAUGGUUUGCCAUUUCCUCCUCUCUCUCAUUUUACAGAGGCAGAAACUGAAGCAAACAGGGGUAAGUGAUUUGUCCAGAGAAGUCUCUGAGGUCAAAUUUAAUUCAGGUCUUCCUGACUCCAGGCUUGGUAUGCUAUUUGAUAUGCCAUUUUUAUUCAUAUGUUGUAAUUUUUUUAGCCAUACUCCAAUUGAUGGAUAUCUGAAGAGGGACUUGAAGAUCAUCUCAUCCAGUUGUGUUAAACACACAUAGAAAUAGACCCUUGCGGCAGCAUAUUGGCUUAGAAAACCACAAAUUAACAUUAUGUUGCUUUUAUUGUAUUAUCAGGAUUUCAGAAUAAGGCUGAUCAAUCUCAUCUUAAAUAGAACAGAGGGCUGUAAGGGGCUAUGGGAGAGACGAGGAGGGCCAGCAAAAAUCCUACAAAAUGUUCAAUAAUACAAUUUAAUUCAUAAACAUUUAUUAAACACCUGCUUUAUUCAGGACACUUUACUAGAUGCUGGGGAUAUAAAGACUAAUUUUUCUCAUUAUCUUUCCCCCUAAAACCUUUCUUCUUUUUGACUUCUCUGCUGUUAAAGCCAUCACCACCCUCACAGUCACCCAGACUGGAUCAUCUUGUUCUUUGUCAUUUGGCAUUCAAAAUGUCCAGAGUUUAUGACAAAAAUGACCAUCAUGGAUGAGUCAUGGAUGACUCCAUGAAAGAAGGUAUUACUUUUUUUUGCCUUUCUUUUUACCCUAGCAUUAGUAUAUAAUAGGUACUUAAUAAAUGUUGGUUCAAUAACUUGAACAAUUCAUUAUAGAGGUCUUGGGGAGUUUCUUGGGUCAAGCAAAACAGUUGCUUCUAUAAGUAGGAAAUUAUAUAGUGAAGUUAUUUGAGGUGUUCCCCUCUCAAAUUCCAGAUUCCCUCCUCUUCUCACUCCACCUUCCAUUUGUCUGCUAUUGUGCUAUUUACUGAUUAGUUCCUAAAUAUUCCAUAGGUGAGAGUAAUAAGUUGUAGGACAGGGAGAACAGUGACUUUGGGGUCAGAAGACCUGAGUUCCCAUCCUCACUUUGUCACUAACUAGCAUGUGACUUUAAACAAAUCAUUUUCCCUCUUGUACUCUAGUCUGCUCCUCAGCAAUAUGAAGGGCUUGGACAAGAUUAUCUUCUAGGUCCCUUCUCAUUUUGACAUCCUAAGAGGUUAAGGUCUCAGAACUCCACAUAUGGAUAUUGUUUGCCCUCUUGUGGCAGAAAGCAGACAGUGACCAAACAGGCUGGAUAAUCAGUCUCCUCAAACUCAAAAUCAAUAUUCUCAUGAGCAUUCAAUAGGUAUUGACUAAGUACCUACUAUGUGCUAGGCACUCUGUAAGGCAUUGAAGAUAGAAGGCUAAAAUUUAAAAGUUCCUUGUCCUCAAGACUGGAGGAGGUAAAUACAAAAUAUUUAGAAAACUGAUGUAAAAUAGUUCCCAGGGGCAGGACCACUCACCAGUCCUAGCAGGGGAGGAUCAGGAUAGGCUUUCUGCUAGAGAUGACUCUGAGUUGAGCUUUUAACACAGUUGGGGUAGAAUGGAGGUAAGGAAGGAGUAAAUUGAAGAUAUACUGAAAAAUCUAUACCAAGAGUAUAGGGAGGGGGAAUAUUGACCCAAGAACCUCUCCCAAACCCCUUGGAUGCAUUGUUUAAAUUAUUUCAAAAUUCCAACUCUGCUCUUGUCAUCCUCUUGCUAUGAUAAGAUCACAUCUGAUGCAAGUAUAUCAGUGAAGGACAAUAAUACAAAAAAAGCUAAAAUUCAUUUGUGAAGGGAUUUAAAAGUUGGAUAGACAAAUCCAUAUUUUAUCUUAGACCUCAAAGGGAAACAAACACCAGUUUUUUGAGCAAGAGAAUGACAAGCUCAGAACUGGAAUUUUGAAAUAAAUUGAUUGGUUAAUUGGAAAAUGAAUUGGAGAGAAAGAGACUUGAUUCAGAGGUUCUAUCAGGAGAUUCUUGUGUCUAUUAGGCGAUUGCCUAAUAUUAGGUUCCAAUAGGCAUUAUCCAGACCAAGAAGUUAGGAGGGCCUGAACUAGGAUGUGGCUGAGAGAGCAAAGUUUGAGACAUUCUCUAUAAAGCCCCACUCCAAAGCUUGUUCAAAGUGUAAAGAUGAUCCACAGAUGAUCUUCAGUGAGUGGAUAUAUUCCUGAUGGAGUAAAAUCAUAUUAAUCUUUACAUACUUGCCAUAACUGAAACUGAAAGGAAGAGUGAAAUUGUAGUUAAAUAGAAGGAUAAUCCUGUUCUAAAAGGUUAUGCCAAUGGGAUUGAAUUCUGUCAAGUUCUAACAGAGUCAAAGUUAAUAAACAUCUAUUGAAUCCUUAUGAUGUGCCAGGAACUGUGUUAAGCAUUGAAGAUACAAAAAAAGGCAAAAGACAAUCUCCUCCCUCAAGGAGCUCAUAAUCCAAUGAGAGAGUCAGCACAUAAAAAGAGGCUGAAAAGCAGGGGUUGAGGUUGCAUGGGAAAAUUACCCUGCAAGUGGGGCAGGGACAAGGAAGUCAUGAAAAGGGAUGGGCAAUGAUUUGAGGAAAUGUGAGUCUCAGAAUUGAUACCAUCUUGUAGAACAAUGAGUUUCUGGAAAGUGUGAAGCCCAGGAAAGCAGCAAGGCAAUACAUCAUGAGGAUAAGUCCUUGGAUGCUCUUCUUAAAUGCAAGAGAAUCAGAGAGGAGCUCCUGGAGUCUACUCCCACCCUCUCCAACCAAAGGGUGGAGGCAGCUCAGGGACAGAGGUGUUGAGCAAGUAUGAUACCGCGAUGACAAAGCUUUAGAUAUGACCUUGAAAGCAGAUCAAGUGUGUUCUCUGAGGGCUAAGCAAGAUAAAUAAGAGAGAUACUUCACUAGAAGGCAGGUAGCAUGGUGAUGAAUUUUUGGACCAAUGACCAUUGAAAGAAACAAAAUGCCAUUCAGUACUAGGCAUUCCCCUUCUCAGCCUGUAGUGAUGGUGGGAAAGGAAGCAGAGAAUACUGAGAAUUGCAUUUUUGACCAUUAAAAAACUUACACUAAAUAGAAGAUUCUUUUCCAACGAUCAGUGAGUAGAUAUAUUUCUGAUGGAGUUAAAUCAUACUAAUCUUUACAUACUUGCCAUAACUGAAACUGAAAGGAAGAAUGAAAUUGUAGUUAAAUAGAAGGAUAAUCCAUAGGUAUUCCUUGGAAAGGCAAAGAAAGGAGUUGGAGGAAUAGUAUUUAUCAUAUACCCAAAAGCAACAAAGGGCAGUUAAGUGGUGCCUACAAUAAUGCCUGGAGGAAGGAAAGGUCAUCUUUUUGAGUUCAAAUACAAUCUUAGACAUUUACUGUGUGACCCUGGGCAAGUCACUUAACCCUAUUUGCCUCAGUUUUCUCAUCUGUAAAAUGAGUCUGAGAAGGACAUGGCAAACCAUUCCCGUAUCAUUGCUAAGAAAACCUCAAAUGGGAUCAUGAAGAGUUGGAUACAACUGAAACAACUAAAUAACAAAGGCAACAGGAAACAUAGGGAUAUUUGGUCAUCUCAGCAAAUAGUGCACAAUAUUUGCAAAAGAAGAUUAUGAUGAAAACAAUGGCAAUUUCUGUACCAAGGUUGAUUGCUGAGGUUAAAAUGGUAGAGAUAUUUUACAAAGAAUUUGUAGGACUCUCCAUAUGAAUUGAGUAUAUACACUCUGAUACUUCAUGAAGUCUGUGAAAAAGGAGGAAGGUGACGGGAAGAAAUAUGUGGGAAAACACGAGAAGGAAUGAAAGAAGUCAGAGAUAUAUAGAUUUUAUAAAACCUUCACUUUUCUAUAUCACAAACAUUUUCUCUUGGCAUUCAAGAUGGCAUUGGUAGAUGCUGGACCUGGUAAGCAUCAAAUCACAAAAAAAAAUAUUGGUUAUGUUUUAAGAGAUAGAUUUAUUUUUGAUGUAACCGUUAUUCUUGAUAACUCAACAACUCCUUGAUUGGUAGUGUCUGUUCAGUUGAACCACUGAUUCAUCAUAGUUCAGAUCAAAAAUAGUAAAAAGCAAGAAAAAAGAAUAACAAUGAGAAAAAGAUGAUAUAUACAUUCAUGUACAUGUCUACAUAUAUAUGUGCACAUAUAUACAUAUAUAUUUACACAUACAUACAUAUAUACACAUAUAUAUAUCUAUAAAUACUAUACAUAUAGAUAUAUACCUAUACAUACAUACUUACACAUAUAAACCUUGACUCCCAACUAUUUCAACAAAUUAUUGAGGGAGAAGAAAAAUAUUUGAAAUCAAUGAUAAAAAUUUUAUUCAAAAGUUAAAUUAAUAUAGAUUAAUUGUCAGAUCAGAGAGACCAAGAGAUGCUAGAAAAAACCCCAAGCAGCAAGCACUGAACUUAGUUGCCAAAGAGAGAGAAACAUGGCUUCCAAAGACUACAAUGGCUUAUAACAUAAACUUGUUUGUAUAAUAUAACGAAGGAUUAUGAGAAAGCAGAGAGAAAUAGUAGAAGAUAAAACCAAUUUAAAUAAAGUUUGUCUUGAUAUCCAAUUCAGCAGUCAUUCAAGGUCAUUCAAGGAUGAAACUGGAAAGAGUACAACAAACAAGAAAAAUGGAAUAGAUUUGCAAAAAGUCCCUUUCUUCCAUAAUAUAGCAGGGAGUUAGGGUGGAGUUGGAAAGGGACAUCAGAAAGCCUAAAAGGAAAGUUCUUAUCCCUCUAGUUCCUGGCUACCUUGUAAAUUUGUUUCCCUUUCUGAGAAUUCAGAGAUUGAAAAUGAACUUUACCAAAUCAAGAAAUAGUAUCAACAUCUGGGAAGUGGCAAAUCACGUAAACCCUGUGUACCUCAUUUUCCUCAUCUGUAAAGUAGGAAAAGUAAUAGCAUUUAUCUUCCAGUGUUGUUAUGAGAAUCAAAUGACAUAAUAUUCAUAAAUACUUGGUACCAGUAUCUGGCAAAUAGUAGGACAUUAAUAAAUGUUGUUUCCUUCCUUCCUCCCCUCAUUCCAAACUCCCUUCUCUAUUUCUUUCCAUUCUUUCUUCUCUACUUCCUUCCCUCCUCCUUUUCUUCCUUCUCUCCCCUUUCUGUUCUCCUUCCCUCCUUCCCUCCUUCCCUCCCUCCUUCCUUUCUUUCUUUCUUCCCUCCUUCCUUUCUUUCUUUCUUCCC